ACAGGUUGAAGACCUACCAAUCAAAUAAAACAAAUGGUAACAUUUUCCCAGUCUUUGGGAUUUGGGAGUCUUCAGCUUUCUUGGUAUCGUAGUUGUAGUUUUUUUUUUUUUGCUUUCCUUGUUACUUUAAAAAUCGAAUUUACUCGUUCAGACUACAUCGUGAAUUUGAAUUUAUUUGCGCACAUGUUUUAUUUUUCAAAUAAAAACACAUCUCUCAGAAAAACGUUAACAUUAUGCGGGUUUUAUGAACAUUGUUUUUUUUUAAAAAAAAUCAAGUUGUAUUGCCAUGAAAAUCUGCUGAGAGGGAAGUAAGGCCCCUCGCCAGUUUUCGUUUUGCUCAGGUGAAACAGUUUUAAGUCCAAGAUAGCUUUGGUAACUGCUAAUAUACUACAGUAUCCGUUUUAAAAGACUUUGUACAGCAUUCCACACGUUUGCUGCAGUGGCAGAAACACAAUUGCUUAUUGUGUAUCUCUGUGACUUAUAAGGGACGGAUCUAGCAAUUAAAACAUUAUAUUUCCAUAUGCAUUAUUUUGAUGUAAGUUUCUCAUUGGUAUAUAUUAUCAACAAAUACGUAAACAUAACACAUUUAAUAAACAGAUCACUACCUUUUUAGAUAAAAAGAAACCUCCUCAAUGACUUGAAAACUAUAAAAAAAACAGUCGACUAAAAAUUAAAUUUACAGGUCCAGUUAAAAGAAGCUGCUACUGAGAGUGUGUAUGUGACCAGAGAAUCCGUUAAUACACUGGUACAGAACUAUUUCACUCAGAUAAAUGACAUCACAGAAGCCUUGGAACAUGAUAAACAGCAGCAGUUCAGACGUCUAGAAGAGUGGUUUUACAAAAGAAAACAAGCCUGACCGAGUAUGACUUGAAUCACGAAGCAACACUUGAGUUUCGAAGGAUAAAGAUGUCUGCUUUGGAUCAUAUGGAAAAACACCUUGAUGGACAACUGCAGGAAGUGGAGACCUUCAUGACACAGCUUGCAGCACUCGCCAGAGUUCCUCUGGGGAGGGCAAAGUCUUACACUAAGAACAAUUCAGGUAGAUACUGGUAGCCAUGGUUUCACUCAUCCACACUGCACACUGUAAUGUUACAGAACUAGCAAGAAAUAACAAAGGGACAAGAAAAAGCUCAGAAAAAUAUGAACAUACCUGUGACUCAUUUCUAGUUCAUACAUUUAUAUUAAAUGUUGCUUCUAGAAGAGCGGUGCACUAGAGAGAAUGCUUUGAGAAUCUGGCUGAAUGUGAAAUACACUGGAUGACAGAAGAGCUGUUUUCCUAUAGUAUGCAGUUGAUAAUAAUCAAGAAGAUUGGGUGACUUGAGUACUUAGCUGUAAAGUUGUACAGUUGAGCUCAUUUUGUUCUGUAAAAAGAAAACAAAAUACAGGAAGAUAUCUCUGUAUAACAUGACAUCCCCUUAUGUAUAUUCAUUUAAAUUUAGGAAUGGGUUGUUUAAUUGAGCUAUAAUGAAUGAACGUGUGGCUAUUGAAUAGUAGUUAGUGCCACUGUAGUUUUCUUUACAUUUAAACAGUUUGUAAAUUAUUUUAAUUAUCAAACUGUUUCCAUCUUUUUUUUCUAAAAGAAAAAUAAUACCACAAUGUACAAUGCAAUCUGUAAACUAUCUAUUAAGUAAAGUAAAAGUAAAAUAUAUAUUUUUGCAGAAUACAAAAGAAUAUCAACAAUAGAAAAGACCUCAGAUCCUAAACCAGCCAAGUAACAAGUUAAUUAAAAAGUGCUCAGCACACACAUUGGCUGAUCUUGGUCUAAUAUCGGUUGUGGACCAUGGGGAAGAUCCCUAAAAAAACUCUUAGGACAGUUUGGAAACCACUUUUGUAUUGCAAUACAAAUACAGAUACGCUUUCUAUCCACUGAAAGUAAAGGUCAUGUGACAUUUUGUAAUUUCCCUACAAUCAUCAAGCAGCUUUGAAAUGAAGGUAUUUAUUCAGGUAAAAUUGGACCUUGGGAUAUUUGUAAAGCAAUUAAGUUUCUAUAACACCCAUGCAUCAUGGGUAUUAUGAAAAUGUUAAGUGAACACAUACAUUUUGUAUUCUAUAAAUAUACACCAUGUUGUACAACACCAUAUUGAAUCUUUAGAAUUAAAUAAGGUACAUGUUUUAUGUUUGGUGGGUAAUAUCAUGUUUCUAAUAUAAAACCAGUUCAUACUGUACAGGUUUUCUUUUCAUAAAUAUUCACAUUAAGGCUGUAGGUUUGGUCAUCUAGUCCAGAGAACCAGUAGAUCUAAACUUCAUUUCUUUUUUCUCUCUCAAGAAGUUCUUUAGCUCCAUCUAUUGCAAACAAUGUAUACAGACCAGCAAAGGGUUAUGGUACAGUAGCAUUGGAAUUCAUUACUUUUAUGAAGUUUUACGAAGUGUUUGGUUUUUUAUCAUGAAAGUGAUUUUCUACCUCAUUUGCACUGUUUUCUUUCUGAUUACUAAUUAUUGCUUUGAAACCAAUGUGCUUACCUCUUCCUAGCCUUAUUCUCUUUAAUCGUGCUGAGAAUCUUGGGUUUUCACUUCCUUUUUUACAAAUACAACCCUAUGAAUAAUUUGCUGCAUUCUGGUUCCUUUUCUGUAGGUCACCUGGUCUAAUUGCACACCUUUGUAUUAAAUGUAAAAAAAAAACAACCCGACAACCCAUGAGGUGAUUGGGUUCCAGGAAGAAGCACAUUUAACCUGUUAGGUUUGUCUUUUUUAAGUAGGUUUUAAAACGUUUGUCAGCACACAUUUAACAUUUUUGCUAAGGCAGGUAGAUAAAACAGAAGGUUAUGGUGUGUUUUUUGUUUUAUUAUUAUUAUUAUUAUUAUUAUUAUUAUUAUUAUUAUUAUUAUUAUUAUUAUUAUUAUUGGUAAAUGUUUAUUAAAAUAAGGCAUUGCUGUUGUAUCUGACUGUUUAAUCAUUCUGUUUCACUAACAUGCCAUUGGGUUAAAUUUGCUUUAUAGUUGGGUGUUUUUACAUAUGUACGUAUUAAAGCAUUAAAAGAAACAUAUACUUUGCAUUUCACAGCAUUCAUUACUUCAGUACAUUUUUUCUGCCCUUGUUUUUAGAGAGGUACUCCCGCAGAAAAGAUUCAUUUAAAUCAAAGCUUAGUACAGUUGCCAGUUUGCACAAAUAAACAGUUUCAGUAAUUAAAACAAUGGCUAGAGGGCUUACUUUUUUUAAUCAUAUUUUUCAUGGUUUGUUUCACAAUGUUGGAGUUUUCAUUUUUAAAUCACCAGACAACAGUAAUUAAACAUAAGUAAAAAUGUAGGUGAAUACAAAGAAAUAAUCGGUAAAAAAAGAAAAAAAAUGUGA